AUCCCUUUUCCGAGCUACAGCUCUCUGCAGGGUUGCUUUUACUAUUGGCUCCCCCAAGCAGCCCUCUCCAGGGCCGGAGUGGGGUGACUACCCCGCUACAGUGGCACAAUCAGUAUUGUCAAUAUUCACUGGGUUGUCCAGAUCAUCUGGGUAGAAGGCCUGUGUUCUCCAGGACUCCAGAGUACAGAUGAAAGACCCACUGAGCCCCAUCUGUCAGAGUGGUGAAACCCAGUGGAACAGCAACAGCAAUCCGAAUAGAUCUGGGAUCAUAUGAUGGGCAUAGAAACAAGCAGAACAUGCACCAGAAGUCCUUCCAACAUCAGCUGUCCUCAUAUUUAAGAGAACAUUAUUCUCUAUGUGUUGCUCAUCCAAAGCCUUCAUACACUGUGGUUUGUAGAUGAGCUAGCUUCAUGUGGCUUCUGUGAUUGAUAGUCUCUGGGAGCCAUCUUGUUUUAGAAUACACAAUUCCUGAGAGCUCAAGAUGCCACUUUGUGCCCUUUGUAUGUGCUUUUGGGGGGCUGGGGUAUAUCCUACAGCAUGUGGACUUAAUCAUAUUCCAAUGUCCUGUGCUAGAUGAAACUGGGAAUACCUUUACGGUUUCUACCUUUUGGGAGAUGCCACUGCAGCACUUUCAAAACUAAAAAAGUUAAAUUUUAACUGCCUUUAUAUGGAAGUAAUUUUACAAAUCUUCCUUAAAAUGUUGGCUCUUAGUGUAUCACUGUCAUAGCCCCUUUAAGGUGAGGUGCAAUGG